CUCAUUUACACACCACAGCGCAUAACUAAGAGCUGCAGCCUGGCUGGCUCAUCUCAACUACUUUCUCCCUGUUAUCGCCCAAAGGUAAAGGUAGGUAAAAGAAACCAGUCGGCCUUUUCGUUUUGCACACUUCAUUUUGACGGCACUCAACUCAACUCCAACUCACUGUGAAAUCUCCCCCCUCAACCCAACAAAGAGGCUCACAUGCUGGUGACAAUGAAAGAGACAGUUAACAGUUGGACCUCUUCUCCCCAGUGUGUCGCAGGGGGGGGGGUCGCAUCUAUUGUUUACUGUCUGCAGGUGGUCUUAAGCUGCUGGAGCGUUGCCCUAAUGGAGACAUUUGAAAG
ensembl:lncRNA